rnacentral:rRNA from 1 species
CCGGGAUUGCCUUAGUAACGGCGAGUGAAGCGGCAAAAGCUCAAAUUUGACAAUCUGGUACCUUCGGUGCCCGAGUUGUAAUUUGGAGAGGGCAACUUUGGGGCCGUUCCUUGUCUAUGUUCCUUGGAACAGGACGUCAUAGAGGGUGAGAAUCCCGUGUGGCGAGGAGUGCGGUUCUUUGUAAAGUGCCUUCGAAGAGUCGAGUUGUUUGGGAAUGCAGCUCUAAGUGGGUGGUAAAUUCCAUCUAAAGCUAAAUAUUGGCGAGAGACCGAUAGCGAACAAGUACAGUGAUGGAAAGAUGAAAAGAACUUUGAAAAGAGAGUGAAAAAGUACGUGAAAUUGUUGAAAGGGAAGGGCAUUUGAUCAGACAUGGUGUUUUGUGCCCUCUGCUCCUUGUGGGUAGGGGAAUCUCGCAUUUCACUGGGCCAGCAUCAGUUUUGGUGGCAGGAUAAAUCCAUAGGAAUGUAGCUUGCCUCGGUAAGUAUUAUAGCCUGUGGGAAUACUGCCAGCUGGGACUGAGGACUGCGACGUAAGUCAAGGAUGCUGGCAUAAUGGUUAUAUGCCGCCCGUCUUGAAACACGGACCUCCUGUGUGAA